AGAUGAUCACAGGCUGGAUGCAGCUCCUCUAGCAAAGAGGAGCUGAUGAAAACCCUAUUUCCCCCAGGGCAGGCUGUGUGCAAGGCUGCACACUGACUCCCACUCCUGAUGCUUCUCCAGUGAUCCAGAGGUGCUAAGACUGCUCACUUGGAGCACAAUUUUGUAACCUGUUCCCCUGCUGCUCAUCCUGGCAUCAGAAACUGAGAGCACAGAUUCAAUGCCUUGCAGUCUCUGCUGUGAAACCUACAACCACAGCCUGCUUGCUUCAUUGCAUAGCACCGGGUUGCACUCGCGUAUUGGAGUCUUGGUUAUUGAAUUGCAUAACAGAUGAAAGAAGAGAUUGAGGAGCAGUCAAGCUCUGAGGAGAUGGUCCUCACUACGCCGUGCAGCUGCCUGUUUCCUUUCAUGUCCUACAGUUCACUCUAAACAAUGUAUAUCCCACUGCAGCUCCUCCCUUGCAGUCCACAGGUGACUUGCAGCUUGUGAAAAUCUUUUGAAAAGCCUAGCAAAAGGUCUUAUGUUGGUGACCAUCAUGUUACAUCCCCUCAGAAUUUGUGGGCUGCAUUUCAGAUAAAAUUAUUAUGAGCACACUCACCAGUCACAGUUUCUCUCCAUUCUUUCCCUCCAGAAGGACAGCUUUGGGUACCUCUGCCCUUACAUGCUAAAGCUGACUACAAAGGAUGCAGUCUGUUUGUGUUUUGUUGCUUCUGAGUGUGUGGGAAUAACUGUCAGUCCUAGAAGGCAAACAGUGUUUUCUAGACGGUUAAAAAACAAAAGAAAAAGGCAAUUUAUUUGAAGGCAUCAGGGGUUUGGAUGGCUCUGAAGGCAUCUGCUGACCCUUCAAAAGGUUAAGCUAGAACAAACAAAAACCUGAGAGAAUGCCCAGGUUUACUGCAUUUGACUGCCAGGAAUAAUAAGAAGAGCUGCAUUUCACAGCUGAGAUACUGAGGUGGGAUGACAAGAGAGCAAUCAACAACCAAUCUUAAUGAGUGUUGCGCCUGCUACAGAAAAAGUAAAAGGAGGGGUUUCCUAUAAAUCAAAUUGUUCCUCUUUGGUAGUUUGGGAACACAUGCUCUAAAAUCAGUCAUCAACCAUCAUCACUGACUUCCAUAGUCUACUGCAGUUUCCGCACUCCAGGAGAAGGGUCAGUGGGGAAGAUUACGAGACCCCAGUGUGUGUGCACUGGCAGGCUUAAGAUGGCAAAACAAGUGUGGCUUCCUCUCAAGGGGAUUAGUCUCUUCUGUUUCCUUAUCUGUGUUCUCAAAUAGGAGUCAGGUUGAGCUGUCUCUUUAUUUGUUUAGGACACCCCUAACUUUUGGUAGAAAAGGUUCUAAUGGAUUCAGAGUUGGUGGAAUUCCCCAAGAAUCCAUGGAAAAUGUUGUUCACAAGGCAAGGAUGUGCUUUAGGAGAUGCCUUCUUUCUGGGCAGCAGAACCACAACACUGAGCACUUGAAGUAGUGGAAGAUUUUGCUCUCCAGGUCCAAAUGAUACAGUGUGCUAAAAUGCACUCUGAGUUCACAGCUUAACAACAGAAUUGUCUACCACCAAGGGAAGUGCUUGA